rnacentral:rRNA from 1 species
CGGGGACUCUAAAGACACCGCCGGCGUUAAGCCGGAGGAAGGUGGGGAUGACGUCAAGUCCUCAUGGCCCUUAUGACUAGGGCUGCACACGUCCUACAAUGGAACGCACAAAGGGAAGCAAAACCGCGAGGUCGAGCAAAUCCCAAAAAUCGUUCCCUAGUUCGGAUUGCAGGCUGCAACUCGCCUGCAUGAAGCUGGAAUCGCUAGUAAUCGCGGGUCAGCAUACCGCGGUGAAUGUGUUCCUGAGCCUUGUACACACCGCCCGU